GAUGAACGCUGGCGGCGUGCCUAAUACAUGCAAGUCGAGCGAACGGACGAGAAGCUUGCUUCUCUGAUGUUAGCGGCGGACGGGUGAGUAAAACGUGGAUAACCUACCUAUAAGACUGGGAUAACUUCGGGAAACCGGAGCUAAUACCGGAUGAUAUUUUGAACCGCAUGGUUCAAAAGUGAAAGACGGUCUUGCUGUCACUUAUAGAUGGAUCCGCGCUGCAUUAGCUAGUUGGUAAGGUAACGGCUUACCAAGGCAACGAUGCAUAGCCGACCUGAGAGGGUGAUCGGCCACACUGGAACUGAGACACGGUCCAGACUCCUACGGGAGGCAGCAGUAGGGAAUCUUCCGCAAUGGGCGAAAGCCUGACGGAGCAACGCCGCGUGAGUGAUGAAGGUCUUCGGAUCGUAAAACUCUGUUAUUAGGGAAGAACAUAUGUGUAAGUAACUGUGCACAUCUUGACGGUACCCAAUCAGAAAGCCACGGCUAACUACGUG
rnacentral:rRNA from 1 species